rnacentral:rRNA from 1 species
ACGGAGGGUGCGAGCGUUAAUCGGAAUUACUGGGCGUAAAGCGCACGUAGGCGGUCAGAUAAGUCGGAUGUGAAAGCCCUGGGCUUAACCUGGGAACUGCAUUCGAUACUGUCUGGCUAGAGUAUGGGAGAGGGAAGCAGAAUUUCCGGUGUAGCGGUGAAAUGCGUAGAUAUCGGAAGGAAUACCAAUGGCGAAGGCAGCUUCCUGGCCCAAUACUGACGCUCAGGUGCGAAAGCGUGGGGAUCAAACAGGAUUAGAUACCCUGGUAGUCCACGCCGUAAACGAUGAGAACUAGAUGUUGGGAGGGUUUUGCCUCUCAGUGUCGCAGCUAACGCGCUAAGUUCUCCGCCUGGGGAGUACGGCCGCAAGGUUG